rnacentral:rRNA from 1 species
UACGGAGGGUGCGAGCGUUGUCCGGAAUCAUUGGGCGUAAAGAGCGUGUAGGCGGUCCGGUAAGUCGGCUGUGAAAGUCCAGGGCUCAACCCUGGGAUGCCGGUCGAUACUGCCGGACUAGAGUUCGGAAGAGGCGAGUGGAAUUCCCGGUGUAGCGGUGAAAUGCGCAGAUAUCGGGAGGAACACCUAUGGCGAAGGCAGCUCGCUGGGACGUUACUGACGCUAAGGCGCGAAAGCGUGGGGAGCGAACAGG